rnacentral:snRNA from 3 species
AGCUUUGCGCAGUGGCAGUAUCGUAGCCAAUGAGGUUUAUCCGAGGCGCGAUUAUUGCUAAUUGAAAACUUUUCCCAAUACCCCGCCGUGACGACUUGAAAGAAGUGUUCUUC